UACGUAGGCAGCGAGCGUUGUUCGGAGUUACUGGGCGUAAAGAGUGCGUAGGCGGUUUUCUAAGUUUGGUGUGAAAUCUCCCGGCUCAACUGGGAGGGUGCGCCGAAGACUGGAAGGCUUGAGUAUGGGAGAGGUAAGCGGAAUUCCUGGUGUAGCGGUGAAAUGCGUAGAUAUCAGGAGGAACACCGAUGGCGAAGGCAGCUCGCUGGGACGGUACUGACGCUGAGGCGCGAAAGCGUGGGGAGCAAACAGG
rnacentral:rRNA from 1 species